rnacentral:rRNA from 1 species
CUACGGGGGGCAGCAGUGGGGAAUAUUGGGCAAUGGGCGAAAGCCUGACCCAGCGACGCCGCGUGGGUGAUGAAGGCCUUCGGGUUGUAAAGCCCUUUCGUGCGGAAAGAACAGCCCUGAAACGAAUACUUUCAGGGUUUGACGGUACCGCAGGAAGAAGCACCGGCUAACUCCGUGCCAGCAGCCGCGGUAAUACGGAGGGUGCAAGCGUUGUUCGGAAUUAUUGGGCGUAAAGGGCGCGUAGGCGGUUGUGAUAGUCAGAUGUGAAAUCCUUUGGCUUAACUGAAGAACUGCAUCUGAAACUUCAUAACUCGAGUACAGGAGAGGGAAACGGAAUUCCCGGUGUAGAGGUGAAAUUCGUAGAUAUCGGGAGGAACACCAGUGGCGAAGGCGGUUUCCUGGCCUGAUACUGACGCUGAGGCGCGAAAGCGUGGGGAGCAAACAGGAUUAGAUACCCUCGUAGUC